AGGUAAUAUUUCAGUGAUUGAUGUUUUAUUUUUUAACUAUUUCAGGUGUGUAUUUAGAAAACAUCAAGGACUGUUGUACAUGCAAAGAAAGCACAUGUCAAAAAAAGAAGUAAAAGUAUGUAAGAUGUACCAUCAAUUUAAGUAAUAAAGGUUGUCAGAAUACAGAUUACAGACAGAAGAAAAAACAACAACAAAAAACAUAAGAUUUAAAGACAGAAAAGGGACAAGCAUGUUCUGACACAAAACAUGUAUUCAACUUUAAAUAAGAGGAGGAAAAAUCAAUGGCAGCGACACAGAUGUUGAAGAAAGAAUAUUUAUCAGAACACUAAUGCAAGAACUGUCAACAACACUUGAUUUUUAAAAAAAUAUUUCCAAUAGUUAGAAUCAUUAAAUUCUAAUUAAAGUUAUGCCAUACAGAAUACAGGCAGUUAAACUGUAUCAAUGAAUGUGAAAAAGACUUGAUAUCUGACAUUUGAGUGGAGUGCCUUAAUAAAAUGAAAACUAAAAGACAAUUUUUAAUCGCCUGAUAAAAAUUUUCAAUAUGACAAAUUUUUAAUGGUUUCAAUGCAGUAAUAAAAAGAUAAAUGAAUUGUGCAUAAAUGAAAACACAAACAAUUUUAUAGAAAAAAAUAUGUUAAGUUAAUUUGGAAACAAAGUCACAAGCACGUUUGAAAUGAAAUGUAUUUAUGCAUAUGGAAUAAAUUAAAAAAAGGUG